rnacentral:lncRNA from 1 species
GCUAUCUAUCCUCUACCAUCAUUUUUCUCUCACGCAGAGUGAUGGUCAUGAGGAAAGAUCCAUCAGAAUUUGACACCGGCAAUUGGAUCCAGAAUAAGUAACAAACUUAGCGGACAAAAAGGGAUAGGACGUGGAUGAAAUGAGGUAAUCGUGAACACUAAAGCUUGUGAAUGAGGACUCAAAGCCAUAGCCAAAUUAAUUGAACUAUAUAUGACAGCAUAACCAUCGCGGCAGAUAAAAUGACCAAAAUGAACUCAACCAUCAAAAUCAAGUGAGAAUUGGAGCCAAUAUUUUCUCCCAACAUAAC